AGCUCCAAUAGCGUAUAUUAAAGUUGUUGCAGUUAAAAAGCUCGUAGUUGGACUUUGGGGCGUUGUGCACGGGCCGCCGAAAGGCGUGCGCUGGGCGCGGCGCUCUUCCUUCCGUAGACUGCGUUUGCUCUUAGUUGAGUGGGCGUUUGGAUGCGGAUCGUUUACUUUGAAUAAAUUAGAGUGUUCAAGGCAGGCUUUUGCUUGAAUACAUUAGCAUGGAAUAAUGAAAUAGGACUGAGGUUUUAUUUUGUUGGUUUCUGAAACCACAGUAAUGAUUAAUAGGGAUAGUUGGGGGCAUUAAUAUUUAAUUGUCAGAGGUGAAAUUCUUGGAUUUAUGAAAGAUUAACUUCUGCGAAAGCAUUUGCCAAGGAUGUUUUCAUUAAUCAAGAACGAAAGUACG
rnacentral:rRNA from 1 species